rnacentral:rRNA from 1 species
GUAGGUGGCAAGCGUUGUCCGGAAUUAUUGGGCGUAAAGCGCGCGCAGGCGGUUCUUUAAGUCUGAUGUGAAAGCCCACGGCUCAACCGUGGAGGGUCAUUGGAAACUGGAGAACUUGAGUACAGAAGAGGAAAGCGGAAUUCCACGUGUAGCGGUGAAAUGCGUAGAGAUGUGGAGGAACACCAGUGGCGAAGGCGGCUUUCUGGUCUGUAACUGACGCUGAGGCGCGAAAGCGUGGGGAGCAAACAGGGAUUAGAUACCCUGGUAGUCCACGCCGUAAACGAUGAGUGCUAAGUGUUAGGGGGGUUUCCGCCCCCCUUAGUGCUGCAGCUAACGCAUUAAGCACUCCGCCCUGGGGAGUACGGCCGCAAGGCUG